AGCGGCAAAAGCUCAAAUUUGAAAUCUAGCACUUUCAGUGUUCGAGUUGUAAUUUGAAGAAAGUCUCCUUGAAUAGUCCUUUAUCUAUGUUCCUUGGAACAGGACGUCAUAGAGGGUGAGAACCCCGUAUGAUUUUGGAUCCUAUUCUCUGUGGGAGUCUUUCCAAGAGUCGAGUUGUUUGGAAAUGCAGCUCUAAGUGGGUGGUAAAUUCCAUCUAAAGCUAAAUAUUGGCGAGAGACCGAUAGCGAACAAGUACAGUGAUGGAAAGAUGAAAAGAACUCUGAAGAGAGAGUGAAAAAGUACGUGAAAUUGCUGAAAGGGAAGGGCUUGAGGUCAGACUUGGUGUUUAAUGAUUAUCUUCUUUUCUUAAGUUGUGCACUCGUUUUUCACUGGGCCAAUAUCAGUUUUUGUAGUAGAGCACCUCUUGAAAUGUGACUUCCUUCGGGGAGUGUUAUAGUCUUGAGACGAUCUACUACGGGGACUGAGGACUGCGCGUUAUGCUAGGAUAUUGGCGUAAUGACCUUAAGCCGCCCGUCUUGACC
rnacentral:rRNA from 1 species